UUAUAUAGGUUAGUUUUUGAUUAAUUUAAUUUCUGUUAGCUUGCGUGACUGUCAAUGGUUUUGCCCAUCACUAUAAAUGCCCACUAGCUAUGGGCCACAUUUGUCAGUAUGAGAUGGCAGUUGUGGUGUAAGGAUGCUGAAAGAGAUUGCCAUGCUUGAAAAUAUACCUGCUUUAGUCAUUGAAAGGUGGAAGAAAGCAUGUGAAGCUGAUUGAAUGUGAUCGCUGAACUGCAUCAAGAGAAAUGCCAUCAGGAAGCACUGCAGGAAGAGAGGUAAUCGUGGUGGUGUUCGGGUGAGAAUCAGAAGGGCAAUUGUGUCUUCCAUACAGUCUUCAAUGGAGUUUCCUCUGGAUAGUAUAAGCUUGGGGGGUCUUCACCUGUCACGACGUUCAUGGGAUUAUAUUUUUCAUCUCCCGAUUUUCACUCAUCUAUUUUUUUUUUCUGCUCCUCUGCGUUUACGGAUUCAUCAAAGAGGAGUGAACUGUUAAAAUCUCUGCCAACUGACCUUUGUUCAACAUCUCGAUCUGAACUUGUCAUCACAGCCUCCUUUGAAUAUGGCCUUAGUGAAUGCUAUGUCUGUAUGCAAUAAACCUUUCAUUCUACAUGACUUUUUUUACCUGUUGGGAUCUGGACAUUUUGUUCUUGACUGAGACUUGGGCCGGUGCUGGGGAGUUGUCAGUUUUUGAAGAACUUUGCCCACCGAACUGCUGUUUUAUUAGUACCCCAAGAUCUGCUUGUAGGGGUGGUGGGGUUGCAAUUGUUUUUAAACAGUCACUUAAAAUUCAAUCAGUUUCUGUUCUAACUUUCAUCGUUUGAAGUACAGUGUGUAGCAUUAGUCUACUUCAUCCCUGCUGUUCUGUGCUCUCAUCUAUAGGCCACCUAAGGUUGGAAGUACUUUUACUAGUGCUUUUUCUGAAUUGUUAACUUCUGUUUUAUGAUUGUAUGUUGCUACCGGGUGAUUUUAAUAUACAUCUUUGCAGCCCGGGGCGUCCUUUUGGUUGCUGAGUUUUGUAAUAUCUUGGACCCGUUCGGUUUUUCUCAACAUAUAAAUCAAGCAACUCAUGUUCUUGGUCACACACUUGACCUUAUUAUGUCAUAUGGUUCUUCUGUAGUUGAUGCUUCCUUCUCUGAUCACACACCCGUUCUUUUUA